CAGGCAUUUCAGAACGAAAGCGGAGAUCGAGCAGGGUUGUCAACAUGAAAUACUGCGUUUUGGUAGCCCUUGUCUGCUUUUUUCUUCUCAUUGAGAAACGAAUGGUACAACCCUAUAAAAUGAUGCAGCAGCAACUACAACCUGAAACCAAUGCCAGAGAGCUCGGUGUACUCAUUGAAGAAAGAAAGAAACGAAUGGUACAGCCAAAUGAAAUGAUGCAGCAACAACUACAACCUGAAACCAACGCCAUAAAGCUCGGUGUACUAAUCGAAGAACGAAGCAGGCCAUACACUUGUCAAGCUAACGGAGGACGCUGCAAGGAAAAGCCAAAUUGCGGUGCAAGGCAACCACAUAACGGCACAUGCCCUAAGAAGAGAUAUUGCUGCACUUGGAGCGAAUGACUCCGCGCAGUAAUUUCGUACUCUUUCUACCCAGAAGAUCCAGAGCAUUAUUUGGAGGUUACAAAGGACUUGUAAGUCCUGCUUGCCUAUCAUUAUGCGAUUUAC